rnacentral:rRNA from 1 species
UACGGAGGUGCGAGCGUUAAUCGGAAUUAUUGGGCGUAAAGCGCGCGCAGGCGGCUGCGCAAGUCUGAUGUGAAGCCCGGGCUCAACCUGGGAAGUGCAUCGGAACUGCGUAGCUUGAGUACGGGAGAGGAAGCGGAAUUCCGAGUGUAGGGGUGAAAUCCGUAGAUAUUCGGAAGAACACCAGUGGCGAAGGCGGCUUCCUGGACCGAUACUGACGCUGAGGCGCGAAAGCGUGGGGAGCAAACAGG